AAAAAGAAUAGAGAAUCAUGUUACGUUGUCCAAUUAUACCUUGAUUAACCCCUGUUGCGGAUUGUGAGUUUAAAAUAUUUCAUAGGUUUUGAAAAAUCAAAUCUAGGAUUUACACUUAAACUUCACCGUCCAUGGAAAGAAGAAGCAUGAAUAUUUGGGUUGUUUUGGAAGGUGGAUUUUGUGUAAGGGUAGAAUUGUCUGACUCGUAGGAAAUUUUUGGAUCGGUAGUAUAGGUGAGUUGAAUACGUUUUUCCCUCUCCCUUGAUCCAAAGACCCCCUCCCAAAAUGAAAACUCUUUACGACAUUCCACUUCUCUUCGACCCUAAAACAUUUUCAUGUCUUAAAGGGUCCUCCUCCCUCCCCCCCUCUCUCUCUGUCUGCAACCAAACAACUCUUUCAGAAAACAUCCAAAAAAAAAAAUGGCAAUUGAUUAGUUUAUCUAUCAAAGCCUGGAGGUUCAGAAGGGUUUGUUGGUGAUGCUGAUAAUGGGGGAGUUCAGGGUACAUUUUGGGUAGAGCUGAGUAUAAUUUCAGAAGGUGAUGGGUUCGAGUAGUAGCAAAAAUGUUGUCGGAUCUUCAUCUUCAUUCCCGUCCUCAACCAACGGUCGUCGAAAGAAUCAAUUGAUUGCAACUACGGUUUCCAAGUGUUCAUGUCUCGGUGGUCUAUCAUCUGGAUCUUAUGAAACUGAUGCUAGUGAAGAUGAGGUUUCUAAUGAGCGCAACAAGGCAAGUAGGCGACUGAGUGGUGAAACCCUAAGUGUAGAGCAAAAUAGAGCAGAAUCAAUCCAAGUGAAGCGUGGAAAGGUUAAAGUUUUAGAAGAUUCUAGUGAAGUACCUUCAAUAUCUAUUGAAAGUGAGCUUGAUGACGAGUGGGGCCAAGUUAAUGAUGUUGCACGAACUUCUUCUGUAGCUUCUAUAGCUGAUGGCAGCUCUUCUCAAGUUGCUUCAAGUCGUUCACGUUCGCGCUUUAGUUUCUUUCCUGGUAAUAUAAGUUUCAGGCUGAGUAGAGCAGCCAGCUUAGGGUCAUCAAGGGCUUAUUCUCUUUUCCCUAAUGGUUUCACGGGUUCAAACGCUGAAGAAGGUUUUCCUGUACAUACUGAUUCCACCAUUAGUUCGAUUAACAGAAAUGAAGUCCAUCAAGAGACCCAAUUGCUUCCUGAAUGCAGUAUUAGUAGAUUACCUGCUGCGCAGGUUGACAGUGUAUUACAAGUAGAUUCUUUGGUUCCAAGGCUUCCCGUUCAUUUACAGGAUGUUGAAAUCAUUUCCGCUCGAGAUAUGGCUCGAAAUAAUGAGAAUACUGGGUCUGGUGUAAGUGGGAAUCUGUUGAGGAAUAUUACAGAUGUAGAAAGCAUGGAAUCAAGACGUCCGGAUAGACGGAUUAGAUCACGAGAACCUGUUGAGAGGAGUGUUCGGUUUAGCCGAACCCUGAGUGUUGGCAGACUGCGAGACAGGGUUCUUCGAAGAUCUUCAUUUUCGGAUGCAUUGUUUGGUCGGCUUCAAGAAGACAGAGUUGUUAGAGAUUCUAGUCAAGAUAACGGAGCACAAGCCUGGGCUGGCAUUACAAGACCCUUGGAUUCUAAUGGGACUGCUGAACAGACACAAGCUUCAUCUAGUUAUCCUCCUAGUGAAUUGAACUCUAUCUACAACAGUCAAGGUUAUGAUGUCGACGCCUCACGAACCAGAGAAGCUAGGUAUCACGAAAUAAUGGAGCGUAGAACAGAUUUUCUGGAGAGGAGAAGAAGAAUUAGAUCUCAGGUCCGCGCACUUCAGAGGUUGGGUAGUCGCUUCGAGAACUUGUCUGGGCAUGAAAGAUCAUGUAUAUUGUCUGGCCAGCAUAGAACUGGCCUUUGCACAUGCCGAACGAUUAACAGGACCAACACCAACCCAGAUGAUGACACAAGUGCUAGAGCUAGCAUAUCUAGAAUAGUUAUGUUAGCAGAAGCUUUAUUUGAGGUUCUGGAUGAAAUCCACCAGCAAUCUGUGGUUUUAUCCUCUCGGCCCUCUGUAUCUUCAAUUGGAUCUGUCCCAGCACCAAAAGAGGUGGUGGAAUCUAUGCCUGUAAAGAUAUAUGCGAAGUCACAGAAACAACAGAAUGACGAUGCUGCACACAGCGUCAUAACCUUUUCAUUCCAAAUUUUGCCUUCGGCGGCAGAUGUUACAUAUGCCUUGUAGAGUAUGAGGAAGGAGAUUGCAUGCGAAUUUUGCCUUGUCAUCAUGAAUUCCACCAGACAUGUGUAGACAAAUGGCUGAAAGAGAUUCACAGGGUAUGUCCACUUUGCCGCGGGGAUGUCUGCAGAUCGGAAUCUUUUGCCGUAGACAAUUGAGGUUAAAGCUUUGAUGAUGUGCUCAUUGCUCUCCCAUGACCCAAGCAUACCUUGUCAAGCGCUUGCAGAAAACGAAACUUUUGGUAGCCGUGAACUGUUGUCUGUUUGAGAAGAUUCAGAUAUUGAAGUUCGGUUUAUCAGUCCCGUAAGAAGAGUGUGUUCCCCUGAUAUUAGCCAGAAGCAAAUGC